GGUUUUUUACGGUAAUUUUAUUUUCUUAGUUUGUUUUCAUUGGCAUUUGGUUGGCUUACUUCCCUUUGUAGCCAAAGCAACCCUAGGUAGAUUCUAAGAGUUGGGUAGUUUCAUUGCUUGUAAUGUUUUACCUGCCUAUUUGCUAUCGACAAUAUGCCAACUUUAUCGAUCUUUGGUGUAGAGAUUCUACAAAUUGCCAACUCCAUUCUCUUCCAUGUGAUGUAGGCCCACGCCCCCACCUAGGCCCACAAGGAGCCUACAUGUGCUGAUUUUGAACUUGACAAAAAAAAGAUUUGGAGCAUAAAUAUCAAGAUUUAGUAUUUACUAUUUGUGGAAAAUAUGAGGGCAUAAAUAUGAAGAUUCCAUUUAAGCACAUAUCCUUUAGCAAGGGGCUAAGGUUCCUGAUCAUUGAGUUGCAUUUACAUAAUCUCCUUUAGCAAUGAUAGCAUCUUGAACAUGAUAUUCAGUUACUGAAUGUAAGACUCAGCAUAUCCACUUGUACUACACCAUGCACACAGAUAUAGAGAUGGUGGGAAUCCUGCAAACAUUUUAAAAUACAAAAUUUGAAACGCUUUGUAUCGUACUAAGUUUCUUUAGAUCUAGUGUUUUUGUUGUCUUGUUUGCUGUUUCUCCAAACAAUGGAUUUCCAAAUCUAGGAUUUUCAUUGUAUUUUGCACGAUCUUAGGGCUUGUUUAGUAGAUGCCUAAAAAACGAGCUCAUCUCAUUUUAGUUAAUCAUAGUUUUAUGUUAGAGAUCAUAUUUCUUUUUUAGGAUUAAAAAAAACUUAAAAAACCAACAAUCAUGAUUUCUAAUUUGUAAUUAUGAUUAACUAGAAUGACUUGAACUAGCUUUUUGGCUUCUAUGAAACGGGCCCUUAAUUUUUGUAUGUGAAGGGGCCAUGUGGCUCCUGGAAUUCAAGAGUGCCUAAAGAAUUUGUUUAUGUUGUCUUGUUUUGGUACUAGGAAUUUAAUUCUAUGUAAUCUCGUGUUUGGGUACUGGGAAAGAAUUCAUUGCAAUUCUACUGUACCUGCACUAUUAAUAAAAUGAUUGUUGAGCAUUUUGUCAAAAAUUGCCAGCCAGGCAUUAUGGAAGAUAAGCAAUUCCCUUAAAGGCUCCCAAGUUGAUGAUCCUAGCCCUUAGAUCAGUACUUGAUGUCAAAUUGGUGAUUGACAUAAUUUGACCAAAAAACAAACAAGUAUUUGUAGUUUGAAAACUUAGUUUUACAGAAUUAUGUGGUUAUUUAUGCCCAGUGUGUAUUCUCUCGUAUUGCGCUUCCUUUUUGCAGGUUUUGUUUAUGCAUCUGCAGGAGAAGCUCACCAUUACUGAGGUGCACUAUGUAGAUUUCAAGUCCUUAAAAAAAUAUCGGGAUGUGAUACUGUUUUAUCUGUGAUACUGAUAAAAAAAUCAUGAUGUGAUACUGAUAAGCUGUUCCAAUAUUUAUCUGUGAUAUGGCUGCUGGCAUCUUUGAUUUUACUAUUGAAUUAAGGGCCAUUUUUGUUUUUUGUUCCAUUGUCGUUAUCAUCUUGCACAUCAAAUAGCUAGCAUCCUUUUACAGAUUUUUAAUAUGGCCUUGUAUUUACAUUCAAUGUUACAGGCAAAGUUAAAGGAGUCUCAGUAUCAAUUAGCCCCAUGGCGUUCAGAUGUAGUGAAUAACUCUAGUUUUGCACCUGAGUCUCUGUCUCAUUCCUUUGAAGUCUUGAAAUCGUGCCUCAGCCAACAUAUGCCCACGCACAUACACCAAUCUCUUCUCCUUUCAAUGCUCAGACAACAAAAAGAUAGACUGGGAAGUAUUAGGACACCAUAAUCACCAUAUUGGUGGUGUUGAUACAAAAAAUCUAGACCAUGAGAACUUGGGAAGGUUUUCUCCUUCUGCAAGCAGCAAAAAGUCAGAGUGAAGCCAAUCUCACGAUUCUUUAAAUGUGUGUUUGGAUGCUCAAGUUUGACCAGAUUUAUAUAGGCAAUGACCAAAAUGGAGGGAAGCCAUUUUUUUAAUUUCAUAGUGACGACAUGCCCCUAUUUCCAUUUCAUGCAUUUGUUCAUGUAGGGACUCAAAAUGAGCUUAUUUGUCAAUGAGAGAGUAAUUCAUGGACUGUCUUUUCACAUGAGCCAUAAUUUGUAUUUUCUUCUCUCUUGUAGGACUGCAUGAUUAAGAGAAAGUGAACCUGUUUGAUUGGAAUUGUAUAUUUCCCGGCAGCUAUAUGCAUACACAGUCACUGACUCGAUGGGAAAUAUAGUGGGCUCAUUUAUUUCAGGCUUCUUUAAAGUUGUUAGUACUUUAUUUGGAGCUCCGCUCGACUUUCUCGCAGGCAAAUCUUGCAGGUAAGCAUUAAGGAAGUGACUUUGUCUAAAAUUUCCUUUCUUAGAAGCAUUUCGAAAUUCAUUUUACGGGUUGUCAUUCAAUGCAUCCUUGACAAAUUGCCUUUAUUUCAAAAUUCAGUUCGAAAUUUAUCCUUCCAUCUAAACAGUGGCAAUUAUAAACUUUGUGAGCUAAUUUUAGUACUCUAGGGCAAAAUUGAUCAGGAUCCAAGAAUCAAGUGGGCCGCACUAAAGGAAAAGGUGGGUAGAGAAAUUCAAGCAUGUAUGCAAGUUAGUGGUUUAUAACUGUUUUCUCAUACUCUUUCCCUUUCCCCUUGGCUCUUCGAAUCUGGGACGUCUUUCUUUACGAGGUUAGUGUCUAAUUGUUCAUCUUAUAUGAUUUUUUAUUCCCUGUUUUAUCUUCCACAAUGCCAUUUUAGGGUCUGAAGUAAGACUGAUAUUAAAGGGGCAUGGAAUUGCCCC